AACGUACGCUGGCGGCACGCCUAACACAUGCAAGUCGAACGCAGUAGCAAUACUGAGUGGCAGACGGGUGAGUAACAUGUGGGAAUCUGCCUUGUGGUUCAGGACAACAUUGGGAAACCGAUGCUAAUACUGGAUAAGCCNUUACGGGGAAAGUUUUAAUGCCAUAAGAUGAGCCCGCAUUUGAUUAGUUAGUUGGUGAGGUAAUGGCUCACCAAGACAAUGAUCAAUAGCUGAUCUGAGAGGAUGAUCAGCCACACUGGGACUGAGACACGGCCCAGACUCCUACGGGAGGCAGCAGUGGGGAAUCUUGCACAAUGGAGGAAACUCUGAUGCAGCGAUGCCGCGUGAGUGAAGAAGGCCUUUGGGUUGUAAAGCUCUUUUGUAGGGGAAGAUAAUGACUGUACCC
rnacentral:rRNA from 1 species